rnacentral:rRNA from 1 species
AGUAAUGCUUGGGAAUCUAGCUUAUGGAGGGGGAUAACUACGGGAAACUGUAGCUAAUACCGCGUAGAAUCGAGAGAUGAAAGUGUGGGACCUUCGGGCCACAUGCCAUAGGAUGAGCCCAAGUGGGAUUGGGUAGUUGGUGAGGUAAAGGCUCACCAAGCCGACGAUCUCUAGCUGGUCUGAGAGGAUGACCAGCCACACUGGGACUGAGACACGGCCCAG